GGCUCAAGAUGAACGCUGGCGGCGUGCCUAACACAUGCAAGUCGAACGAAGCGUGCGGAUGGAAUUUCUUCGGAGAGGAAGCCUGCAUGACUGAGUGGCGGACGGGUGAGUAACGCGUGGGCAACCUGCCCCGUGCCGGGGGAUACCGCCUGGAAACAGGCGCUAAUACCGCAUAAGCGCAUACAGCCGCAUGGGUGUAUGCGGAAAGCUCCGGCGGCACGGGAUGGGCCCGCGCCCGAUUAGCCAGUUGGCGGGGUAACGGCCCACCAAAGCGACGAUCGGUAGCCGGCCUGAGAGGGCGGACGGCCACAUUGGGACUGAGACACGGCCCAAACUCCUACGGGAGGCAGCAGUGGGGAAUAUUGCACAAUGGGGGAAACCCUGAUGCAGCAACGCCGCGUGGGUGAAGGAGCGUUUCGGCGCGUAAAGCCCUGUCAGCGGGGAAGAAGAAAGACGGUACCCAACCAAGAAGCCCCGGCUAACUACGUGCCAGCAGCCGCGGUAAUACGUAAGGGGCGAGCGUUAUCCGGAAUUACUGGGUGUAAAGGGAGCGUAAACGGCGAGGUAAGCCUGAAGUGGAAGCCCGCGGCCCAACCGCGGAACUGCUUUGGGAACUGUUUUGCCGGAGUAUGGGAGGGGUAAGCGGAAUU
rnacentral:rRNA from 1 species